GCCUUAGGAUGAGUCUGCGGCCCAUUAGGUUGUAGUGGGGGUAACGGCCCCACUAGCCCGCGAUGGGUACGGGUGUUGGGAGACAUUGCCCGGAGAUGGAUUCUGAGACAUGAAUCCAGGUCCUACGGGAUGCAGCAGGCGCGAAACCUUCGCAAUGUAGGAAACUACGACGAGGGGAUACCAAGUGCUAGCACUUUGUGUUAGCUGUUUUCUUGUCUAAAAAACAAGGAGAGUAAAGGGCGGGUAAGAUCGGGUGCCAUUUCGCGCAGUCCUGCGCUUAUUGCGCUUCGCUGCGCGAAGCACAAGCCGCCGCGGUAAUACCCGCGCCCUGAGUGGUGCUCGUUAUUAUUAGGUCUAAAACAUCCGUAGCCGGUUCUGUAAAUGCCCAGGUAAAUCGACGGGCCUAACUCGUCGAAUUCUGGGUAGACUGCAGGACUUGGGAUCGGGAGAGGUCAGAGGUACUUCGGGGGUAGGGGUAAAAUCCUGUAAUCCUUGAAGGACCACCGGUGGCGAAGGCGUCUGACUAGAACGACUCCGACGGUGAGGGAUGAAGCCCUGGGGCGCAAACGGGAUUAGAUACCCCGGUAGUCCAGGGUGUAAACGCUGUGGGCUUUGUGUUGGACAUCCUACGAGGAUGUCCAGUGCCGGAGAGAAGUUGUUAAGCCCACUACCUGGGGAGUACGGCCGCAAGACUGAAACUUA
rnacentral:rRNA from 1 species